AAGUUAUGGAUUAGUUUUCAGAAGGAAAUUCAAACCACUAAAUAAAAGGUAUGUGAGCAAAAAUUUGAUCAAGUACCGUCUUAUUGAAGCUAGAUACUCUUCUUUUGUUACGUUCUGCAUUAUUUGAAUCUCUUUCUCAUAGUUGGAUAUCUGAUAAUGUACUCAAUUGAUCAGUAACAAUGAGCAAAUUAAUCUGCUUCUGAUUGGCAAUUUUGCUGAACAUACACACACUGUGUAUGACAAGUAUUAGUUCUAGAACAUUCAUAAUAAUUGGAUUCAUUGUCCCGUAAUAAUCCUAAUUGCUUGUACCUAAUUCAUUGCUCAAAAUGGUGAAAUCUUGGGUACUUGUUGGCUUGAGAUUAAACUAAUUAAAACAAUCAAAGCCUUUUCUUUCAUUCUCAAAAAAGUCAUUGUAAUUUGCAGUGCAGAUAACAUUAAAAAAGAAUACAAUAAGCCACCCAAUUGCCAUUCAUCUUUAGUCGUCGUGAUUGAUAGAUGCUUCUUUAUUUGGAUGGCUUUUUCCAAAGAACACAGGCAGGCACACACAAGGUUUUCCUUCCAUUCAAAUUUUAAUGGGAGUCGGAUAAGUUUCCUGGAAAUACCGGGAAAUUUGUGAAAGUGGUAGGUCCCCAGUACUUUAUUGCCGCUAGAUCGUAUGCUCUUGCUGCUGCUUCCUCCUCGUUAUAGGCACCAAGAUAAACUGCUUGUAUUGGCAGACAGUUCCAAUGCCCAAGAAGAGAUAACAGGAUGUUAAUAUGAAUAUAAUAUAUAUUUAAUGAUAUUAAAGAUAUAGGGCAAGCCCAAGUCCUUAAGAUAAUCCAGAAGAAUUAUGUGGAAAGUUUACCUUGCUUUCCUUUCUUCUUUUGUGUCGCAUUCCAAGACCCCUUGUCCCACAAAUGGGCUUCAAAACGGCCAGUCCAUCGGUGCCUGUCCAGUGAACUACUGUUAGUUUAUGGUAAAAGAUAAGCAAUUAUUAAAUUUUCUCGUAAGCUUCUUCUGUUUCGACAAAAAAUGGAUCUGCACCAGUGUGCAGCAUCAAUAAAUUGGUAAAUCUAUUGUUUUCUAUGAUUAGCUAUCUUAUCUCUGUUUAUCUAUUGGCCAUCUCUUAAAAUACCCUUUUCUAAUUGACCAUUAAGAUGCUAUUGGAGAAUUCACUAUUGACCUACCAGCUUAUCUUUUUACUAGUCAUCACGAAGAUUCACAUAUUCUAGCAGACUAGCACUCACCACCUGCUCUUUCUCACAAGUUGCGUGCUCUCUCUCUCUCUCUCUCUCACUCUCACGCACAUUCAUGCACACGCGCACCGCCCAAAGGAUAAAAUUCCUCACCUGCUAACCCCUCGAAACCUUGAACUCCUUUUGAUGGUGCUGGUUGUGGCAGACUGAUCAUGCAUCGGUCCGUUGGAAACAUUUAUAGUUGAUAGCAGUGCAGGUCCGCCGCGCCUCCUCUUAACACACUUCAUUCCAUCAGGACCAACCGAUGCUCUCACAGGCUGACCUGAGAGGUGCUUCCCAUUGCUGUUUAGCUCACUCUUCACCGACACAUUCAAUUGCAUUCUUCCUUUCUAAUAACGGUCCCCCUAAAGCUCUCAGUGGCGGC
rnacentral:lncRNA from 1 species